rnacentral:rRNA from 1 species
UGCCAGCCGCCGCGGUAAUACGGAGGGUGCAAGCGUUGUUCGGAAUUAUUGGGCGUAAAGAGCAUGUAGGCGGACUGUUAAGUCAGGGGUGAAAUCCCGGGGCUCAACCCCGGAACUGCCUUUGAUACUGGUAGUCUAGAGUUCGAGAGAGGUGAGUGGAAUUCCGAGUGUAGAGGUGAAGUUCGUAGAUAUUUGGAGGAACACCAGUGGCGAAGGCGGCUCACUGGCCCGAUACUGACGCUGAGGUACGAAAGUGUGGGGAGCAAACAGGAUUAGAUA